rnacentral:rRNA from 1 species
AGUGAACGCUGGCGGUAGGCCUAACACAUGCAAGUCGAACGGCAGCACAGUAAGAGCUUGCUCUUACGGGUGGCGAGUGGCGGACGGGUGAGGAAUACAUCGGAAUCUACUUUUUCGUGGGGGAUAACGUAGGGAAACAUACGCUAAUACCGCAUACGACCAACGGGUGGAAGCAGGGGAUCUUCGGACCUUGCGCGAUUGAAUGAGCCGAUGUCGGAUUAGCGAGGUGGCGGGGUAAAGGCCCACCAAGGCGACGAUCCGUAGCUGGUCUGAGAGGAUGAUCAGCCACACUGGAACUGAGACACGGUCCAGACUCCUACGGGAGGCAGCAGUGGGGAAUAUUGGACAAUGGGCGCAAGCCUGAUCCAGCCAUACCGCGUGGGUGAAGAAGGCCUUCGGGUUGUAAAGCCCUUUUGUUGGGAAAGAAAAGCAGCAGGUUAAUACCCCGCUGUUCUGACGGUACCCAAAGAAUAAGCACCGGCUAACUUCGUG